AACGAACGCUGGCGGCGUGGAUAAGACAUGCAAGUCGAACGCUAAUACAAAGGUAGCAAUAUCGUUGUGUUGGAGUGGCGAAAGGGUGAUUAACACGUGGGCAAGUUACCGCGAGAUCUAGGAUAACCUGCUGAAAGGCAGGCUAAUACUGGAUAACACCUUGGAUCGGCAUCGAUUCAAGUUUAAAGUUGGGGCUCCGCAAGGACCUGACGACUCGCGAUACGCCCGCGUCCUAUCAGCUAGUUGGCGGGGUAAAAGCCCACCAAGGCUAAGACGGGUAGCUGGUCUAAGAGGACGACCAGCCACACUGGAACUGAGACACGGUCCAGACACCUACGGGUGGCAGCAGUCGAGAAUUUUUCACAAUGGGCGAAAGCCUGAUGGAGCGACGCCGCGUGGGGGAUGAAUGGCUUCGGCCCGUAAACCCCUGUCAUUUGCGACUAAACUCUGCAAUUGAACAGAUUGCAGACUGAAAGUAGCGAAAGAGGAAGGGACGGCGU
rnacentral:rRNA from 1 species